rnacentral:rRNA from 1 species
CAGCAGCCACGGGAAUACGGAGGGGGCAAGCGUUAUCCGGAAUUAUUGGGCGUAAAGGGUACGUAGGUGGCCUUUUAAGCGUAGGGUAUAAGGCAAUGGCUCAACCAUUGUUCGCCCUAUGAACUGGAAGGCUUGAGUGCAGGAGAGGAAAGCGGAAUUCCUAGUGUAGCGGUGGAAUGCAUAGAUAUUAGGAGGAACAUCAGCGGCGAAGGCGGCUUUCUGGACUGCAACUGACACUGAGGUACGAAAGCGUGGGGAGCAAACAGGAUUAGAUACCCGAGUAGUCCCUGUCUCUUAUACA